rnacentral:rRNA from 1 species
AUUGAACGCUGGCGGCAGGCCUAACACAUGCAAGUCGAGCGGAUGAAGGGAGCUUGCUCCUGGAUUCAGCGGCGGACAGGUGAGUAAUGCCUAGGAAUCUGCCUGGUAGUGGGGGAUAACGUCCGGAAACGGGCGCUAAUACCGCAUACGUCCUGAGGGAGAAAGUGGGGGAUCUUCGGACCUCACGCUAUCAGAUGAGCCUAGGUCGGAUUAGCUAGUUGGUGGGGUAAAGGCCUACCAAGGCGACGAUCCGUAACUGGUCUGAGAGGAUGAUCAGUCACACUGGAACUGGGACACGGUCCAGACUCCUACGGGAGGCAGCAGUGGGGAAUAUUGGACAAUGGGCGAAAGCCUGGUCCAGCCAUGCCGCGUGUGUGAAGAAGGUCUUCGGAUUGUAAAGCACUUUAAGUUGGGAGGAAGGGCAGUAAGUUAAUACCUUGCUGUUUUGACGUUACCAACAGAAUAAGCACCGGCUAACUUCGUG